rnacentral:rRNA from 1 species
GACGAACGCUGGCGGCGUGCUUAACACAUGCAAGUCGAGCGGUAAGGCCCUUUCGGGGGUACACGAGCGGCGAACGGGUGAGUAACACGUGGGUGACCUGCCCUUAGCUCUGGGAUAAGCCUGGGAAACUGGGUCUAAUACCGGAUAUGACUCCAUGACGCAUGUUGUGGGGUGGAAAGCCUUGUGCGGCUAGGGAUGGGCCCGCGGCCUAUCAGCUCGUUGGUGGGGUGAUGGCCUACCAAGGCGACGACGGGUAGCCGGCCUGAGAGGGCGACCGGCCACACUGGGACUGAGACACGGCCCAGACUCCUACGGGAGGCAGCAGUGGGGAAUCUUGCGCAAUGGGCGAAAGCCUGACGCAGCGACGCCGCGUGAGGGAUGACGGCCU